rnacentral:rRNA from 1 species
UACAGGGGGUGCAAACGUUUGCUCGGAAUUAUUGGGCGUAAAGCGCGCGUAGGCGGCUACUUAAGUCGGAUGUGAAAGCCCCUGGCUCAACUGGGGAAGUGCACCCGAAACUGAGUGGCUUGAGUGCGAAAGAGGGUCGCGGAAUUCCCGGUGUAGAGGUGAAAUUCGUAGAUAUUCGCAAGAACACCAGUGGCGAAGGCGGCUCACUGGCCCGAUACUGACGCUGAGGCACGAAAGCGUGGG